UGAAUACGAGACGCUAAGGCGUCGAAGUAGUGUAUGUCAUACUUCCAAGAAAAGCUUGCACUGUCAUAGAUAAAAAACGCCUGUACCAUAACCGACACAGGUGGGUAGGUAGAGUAUACUAAGGGGCGCGAGAUAACUCUCUCUAAGGAACUCGGCAAAAUAACUCCGUAACUUCGGGAGAAGGAGUGCCUUAUUCGUAAGGUUGCAAUAACAAGAUCCAAGCAACUGUUUAUCAAAAACACAGGUCUCCGCUAAGUCGUAAGACGAUGUAUGGGGGCUGACGCCUGCCCAGUGCCAGAAGGUUAAAGAAGUUGGUUAGCAAUUGCGAAGCUGAUAACUGAAGCCCUGGUGAACGGCGGCCGUAACUAUAACGGUCCUAAGGUAGCGAAAUUCCUUGUCGGGUAAGUUCCGACCCGCACGAAAGGCGUAAUGAUUUGGAUACUGUCUCGGAGAGGGGCUCGGUGAAAUAGACUUGUCUGUGAAGAUGCGGACUACCUGCACCAGGACAGAAAGACCCUAUGAAGCUUUACUGUAACUUGAAAUUGAAAUUGGACUUUAUUCGCGCAGUAUAGGUGGGAGGCGUUGAUUAUAAUCUUGUGGGAUUAUUGGAGCCAUCAGUGAGAUACCACUCUUGUAAUGUUAGAUUUCUAACUUUGAAUCAUUAUCUGGUCAAAGAACAGUUUCAGGCGGGCAGUUUGACUGGGGCGGUCGCCUCCUAAACGGUAACGGAGGCGUACAAAGGUUUCCUCUGAACGGUUAGAAAUCGUAUCUAGAGUGUAAAGGCAUAAGGAAGCUUGACUGUGAGACCUACAAGUCGAGCAGGGACGAAAGUCGGUCUUAGUGAUCUGACGGUACUGAGUGGAAAGGCCGUCACUCAACGGAUAAAAGUUACUCUAGGAUAACAGGCUGAUCUCCCCCAAGAGUUCACAUCGACGGGGAGGUUUGGCACCUCGAUGUCGGCUCAUCGCAUCCUGGGGCGGUAGUACGUCCCAAGGGUUGGGCUGUUCGCCCAUGAAAGCGGUACGCGAGCUGGGUUCAGAACGUCGUGAGACAGUUCGGUCCAUAUCCGGUGUAGGCGUUAGAAUAUUGAGAGGAGCCUUCUUUAGUACGAGAGGACCGAGAAGGACAUACCUCUGGUGUACCAGUUAUCGUGCCAACGGUAAACGCUGGGUAGCUAUGUAUGGAGUGGAUAACCGCUGAGAGCAUCUAAGUGGGAAGCCCACCUCAAGAUAAGUAUUCUCAU
rnacentral:rRNA from 1 species